rnacentral:rRNA from 1 species
UACGGAGGGCGCAAGCGUUGUUCGGAAUCAUUGGGCGUAAAGCGCGUGUAGGCGGUCAUUUAAGUCGGAUGUGAAAGCCCGGGGCCCAACCCCGGAACUGCAUUCGAUACUGAGUGGCUGGAGUCCCGGAGAGGAAGGCGGAAUUCCCGGUGUAGAGGUGAAAUUCGUAGAUAUCGGGAGGAACAUCGGUGGCGCAGGCGGCCUUCUGGACGGUGACUGACGCUGAGACGCGAAAGCGUGGGGAGCAAACAGG